ensembl:lncRNA
UGGAGGUGUGCUAUGCAGGGAGUGUUGGAAUACUCGAGGUACAGUACAUAGGAAGUGCCGCUGCACUGGAGGUGUGAAUACAGGAAGUCCUGGUGUACUGGAGGUGUGAAUACAGGAAGUCCUGGUGUACUGGAGGUGUGGAUACAGGAAGUCCUGGUGUACUGGAGGUGUGGAUACAGGAAGUCCUGGUGUACUGGAGGUGUGGAUACAGGAAGUCCUGGUGUACUGGAGGUGUGGAUACAGGAAGUCCUGGUGUACUGGAGGUGUGAAUACAGGAAGUCCUGGUGUACUGGAGGUGUGAAUACAGGAAGUCCUGGUGUACUGG